UUCACUCGGUCCGAUGUCGGUGGGUUAUCUGAACCCCUCCCACCGACGCCAACUUGACCGUUGA
rnacentral:sRNA from 1 species